AUGGCUCUGUCUACACUCCACAAUCCACAUUCCAUGGCUCGGGGCCCCCCUCUGUCCACACUCCACUGUCUACACUCCACGGCUCUGGGGCCCCUCUCUGUCUACAAUGCACCGCUUUGGGACUCUGUCCACACUCCACGGCUUGGGGGCCCCCUCUCUGUCUACACUCCACAGCUCAGGGCCCCUCUGUCUACAAUGCACAGCUUUGGGACUCUGUGCACACUCCACGGCUCAGGGUCUCCCCUCUGUCUACAAUGCACAGCUUUGGGACUCUGUCUACACUCCACGGCUCUGGGCCACCUCUCUGUCUACACUCCACAGCUCAGGGCCCCUCUGUCUACAAUGCACGGCUUUGGGACUCUGUGCACACUCCACGGCUCGGGGUCUCCCCUCUGUCUACAAUGCACAGCUUUGGGACUCUGUCUACACUCCAGGGCUCGGGGCCCCCCCUCUGUCUACAAUGCACGGCUUUGGGACUCUGUCUACACUCCACGGCUCUGGGCCCCCUCUCUGUCUACACUCCACGGCUCUGGGCCCCCUCUCUGGUUACACUCCACGGCUCGGGGCCCCCCUCUGUCUACACUCCAUGGCUCUGGGCCCCCUCUCUGGUUACACUCCACGGCUCGGGGCCCCCCUCUGUCUACACUCCACGGCUCUGGGCCCCCUCUCUGUCUACACUCCAUGGCUCUGGGCUCCCCUCUGUCUACACUCCAGGGCUCGGGGCCCCCUCUGUCUACACUCCACGGCUCGGGGCCCCCCUCUGUCUACACUCCAGGGCUCGGGGCCCCCUCUGUCUACACUCCACGGCUCGGGGCCCCCCUCUGUCUACACUCCACGGCUCGGGGCCCCCCUCUGUCUACACUCCACGGCUCUGGGCCCCCUCUCUGGUUACACUCCACGGCUCGGGGCCCCCCUCUGUCUACACUCCACGGCUCGGGGCCCCCUCUCUGGUUACACUCCACGGCUCGGGGCCCCCCUCUGUCUACACUCCACGGCUCGGGGCCCCCCUCUGUCUACACUCCACGGCUCGGGGCCCCCUCUGUCUACACUCCACGGCUCUGGGCCCCCUCUCUGGUUACACUCCACGGCUCGGGGCCCCCUCUCUGGUUACACUCCACGGCUCGGGGCCCCCCUCUGUCUACACUCCACGGCUCGGGGCCCCCCUCUGUCUACACUCCACGGCUCGGGGCCCCCUCUGUCUACACUCCACGGCUCUGGGCCCCCUCUCUGGUUACACUCCACGGCUCGGGGCCCCCUCUCUGGUUACACUCCACGGCUCGGGGCCCCCCUCUGUCUACACUCCACGGCUCGGGGCCCCCCUCUGUCUACACUCCACGGCUCGGGGCCCCCUCUGUGUACACUCCAUGGCUCUGGGCCCCCUCUCUGGUUACACUCCACGGCUGUGGGCCCCCUCUCUGUCUACACUCCAUGGCUCUGGGCCCCCUCUCUGGUUACACUCCACGGCUCGGGGCCCCCCUCUGUCUACACUCCACGGCUCUGGGCCCCCUCUCUGGUUACACUCCACGGCUCGGGGCCCCCUCUCUGGUUACACUCCACGGCUCGGGGCCCCCCUCUGUCUACACUCCACGGCUCUGGGCCCCCUCUCUGGUUACACUCCACGGCUCUGGGCCCCCUCUCUGGUUACACUCCACGGCUCGGGGCCCCCUCUCUGUCUACACUCCACGGCUCGGGGCCCCCCUCUGUCUACACUCCACGGCUCUGGGCCCCCUCUCUGGUUACACUCCACGGCUCGGGGCCCCCUCUCUGGUUACACUCCACGGCUCGGGGCCCCCCUCUGUCUACACUCCACGGCUCGGGGGCCCCCUCUGUCUACACUGCACAAUCGCGGCACCGCGGCUAGACGAGCCCAGGUCGCAGCAGUGA
rnacentral:lncRNA from 1 species